rnacentral:lncRNA from 1 species
UUUUUUUUUGGGUUAAGUAAAAUUAGAUCGAGAAAUUAAUUUCUAAAAUUUUAAAAUCCUCAUUCUUCAUUUUGAUUGUAUUACAGCAAUUGUAAAAAUUUUUAUGACACAUUUAAUAUGGGGAUUAGAUAGUAUUAUAAGUGAAAAAAAUUUCCAUAUCUUAUUUAUUAUGGUGUCGCUAUUGCAUAUCAAAUUUAGAUGUAAAGUAUUAAUUGGAGUAGUGACUCAAAUUCCACGUGAUUUGAAAGUUUGAUUCAUGUAGAAAGCCUACACAAUGUUGCUUUAAAAGUUUGGCUUGAUAAGGUAUCAAAUUUCAUCAUGAUUGAGAUUUUGGUUAGGAAAAUGACUUUGAAAUGGAUGUAAAAGUGUUUUGGAGGCCUAGGUUCGAUGGAGCCGAGGCGCCUGGACACCAACAACCCAAAAGGAAUCAGCAAGGUCUGUUCAGCUAAACUGGCUGCUGGUGCUAGGGUGCCUCGGGUGGUGUCGGAGCGCCAAGUGGGUGGUGCUGGUGGUCGUGAAGAGUUUUAUUCCCAGUUGGUUUUGGAUGCGAUUUUUGUACUCAACUUCAUCUAUAAUUUCAAGAUUGGACUCCUAUAUAUACUCCAUCUUGU